rnacentral:rRNA from 1 species
UACAGAGGUCCCAAGCGUUGUUCGGAUUUACUGGGCGUAAAGGGUGCGUAGGUGGUAAGGCAAGUCGGAUGUGAAAUCUUCAAGCUUAACUUGGAAAUGGCGUCGGAAACUGUCUUGCUAGAGGAUUGGAAGGGAGACUGGAAUACUUGGUGUAGCAGUGAAAUGCGUAGAUAUCAAGUGGAACACCAGUGGCGAAGGCGAGUCUCUGGACAAUUCCUGACACUGAGGCACGAAAGCUAGGGGAGCAAACAGG